GAGGUUGUGGCUCAGUGGCAGAGUGCUUGCCUAGCAUGUGUGAGGCACUGGGUUCGAUUCUCAGCACCACA
rnacentral:tRNA from 1 species